GACGAACGCUGGCGGCGUGCUUAACACAUGCAAGUCGAACGGAAAGGCCCUGCUUUUGUGGGGUGCUCGAGUGGCGAACGGGUGAGUAACACGUGAGUAACCUGCCCUUGACUUUGGGAUAACUUCAGGAAACUGGGGCUAAUACCGGGUAGGAGCUCCUGCUGCAUGGUGGGGGUUGGAAAGUUUCGGCGGUUGGGGAUGGACUCGCGGCUUAUCAGUUUGUUGGUGGGGUAGUGGCUUACCAAGGCUUUGACGGGUAGCCGGCCUGAGAGGGUGACCGGCCACAUUGGGACUGAGAUACGGCCCAGACUCCUACGGGAGGCAGCAGUGGGGAAUAUUGCACAAUGGGCGGAAGCCUGAUGCAGCAACGCCGCGUGCGGGAUGACGGCCUUCGGGUUGUAAACCGCUUUCGCCUGUGACGAAGCGUGAGUGACGGUAAUGGGUAAAGAAGCACCGGCUAACUACGUG
rnacentral:rRNA from 1 species